CGCUCGGCCCGCGGGACCGCGCCGCCACCGCCCGGGCUGGCCCGAAGGAACCGCCCGCGCCGCCGCCGCGCGGACCGAGGUUAUGAACGUGAUUUUUGAUGAAACUGGAUUGGAAACAUUUUCAUGAUCUUUGUAUAUUUCUAUAUAUGUAUUUUAAAAUUUUGCAUUUGACUUAAAGUGCCAUGAGAAAAUUUGCAUAUUGCAAGGUGGUCCUAGCCACCUCCUUGAUUUGGGUACUCUUGGAUAUGUUCCUGCUGCUUUACUUCAGUGAAUGCAACAAAUGUGAUGGAAAAAAGGAGAGAGGACUUCCUGCUGGGGAUGUUUUAGAGCCAGUACAAAAGCCUCAUGAAGGUCCUGGAGAAAUGGGGAAACCAGUCGUCAUUCCUAAAGAGGAUCAAGGAAAGAUGAAAGAGAUGUUUAAAAUCAAUCAGUUCAACUUAAUGGCAAGCGAGAUGAUUGCACUCAACAGGUCUUUACCUGAUGUUAGGCUAGAAGGGUGUAAAACAAAGGUGUAUCCAGAUAAUCUUCCUACAACAAGUGUGGUGAUUGUUUUCCACAAUGAGGCCUGGAGCACACUUCUGCGAACUGUCCAUAGUGUCAUAAAUCGCUCACCAAGACACAUGCUAGAAGAAAUUGUUCUAGUAGAUGAUGCCAGUGAAAGAGACUUUUUGAAAAGACCUCUGGAGAGUUAUGUGAAAAAAUUAAAAGUACCAGUUCAUGUAAUUCGAAUGGAACAACGUUCUGGAUUGAUCAGGGCCAGGUUAAAAGGAGCCGCUGUGUCCAAAGGCCAAGUGAUCACAUUCUUAGAUGCUCACUGUGAGUGCACAGUCGGGUGGCUGGAGCCUCUCUUAGCCAGGAUCCAACAGGACAGGAAAACAGUGGUGUGUCCCAUCAUCGAUGUGAUCAGUGAUGAUACUUUUGAGUACAUGGCGGGUUCUGAUAUGACCUAUGGGGGAUUCAAUUGGAAGCUCAAUUUUCGCUGGUACCCUGUUCCCCAAAGAGAAAUGGACAGAAGGAAAGGUGACCGGACUCUUCCUGUCAGAACGCCUACCAUGGCCGGAGGCCUGUUUUCAAUAGACAGAGAUUACUUUCAGGAGAUUGGAACAUACGAUGCUGGAAUGGAUAUCUGGGGAGGAGAAAACCUAGAAAUUUCCUUUAGGAUUUGGCAAUGUGGAGGCACCCUGGAGAUCGUUACUUGCUCACAUGUUGGACACGUGUUUCGGAAAGCUACACCUUACACGUUUCCGGGAGGCACAGGACAGAUUAUCAACAAAAAUAACAGACGCCUCGCAGAAGUGUGGAUGGAUGAAUUCAAGAAUUUCUUCUAUAUAAUUUCUCCAGGUGUUACAAAGGUAGAUUAUGGAGAUAUAGCAUCGAGACUUGGUCUAAGACACAAACUCCAAUGCAAACCUUUCUCUUGGUACCUAGAGAAUAUUUAUCCUGAUUCGCAGAUUCCACGUCACUAUUUCUCUUUGGGAGAGAUACGCAAUGUAGAAACAAAUCAGUGUCUCGAUAACAUGGCUAGAAAAGAGAAUGAAAAAGUUGGAAUCUUUAACUGUCACGGUAUGGGAGGUAAUCAGGUUUUCUCUUACACUGCCAACAAAGAAAUUAGGACGGAUGACCUUUGCUUGGAUGUCUCCAAACUCAACGGCCCAGUCACAAUGCUCAAAUGCCACCACCUAAAAGGCAACCAACUUUGGGAGUAUGAUCCCGUGAAAUUGACCCUGCAGCAUGUGAACAGUAACCAGUGCCUGGAUAAAGCCACGGAGGAGGACAGCCAGGUGCCCAGCGUCAGAGACUGCAACGGAGGUCGGUCCCAGCAGUGGCUUCUCCACAACGUCACCCUUCCAGAGAUAUUCUGAGACCAAAUUUACACAAGAAAAAAAUAAGGGUUGACUGGGCUACCUCAGCAUACA